UACGUAGGGUGCGAGCGUUAAUCGGAAUUACUGGGCGUAAAGCGUGCGCAGGCGGUUUUGUAAGUCAGAUGUGAAAUCCCCGGGCUUAACCUGGGAAUGGCAUUUGGGACUGCAAGGCUUGAGUGCGGCAGAGGAGACUGGAAUUCCUGGUGUAGCAGUGAAAUGCGUAGAUAUGCGGAGGAACACCGAUGGCGAAGGCAAUCCCCUGGGCCUGCACUGACGCUCAUGCACGAAAGCGUGGGGAGCAAACAGG
rnacentral:rRNA from 1 species